rnacentral:tmRNA from 1 species
GGGGAUGACAGGCUUCGACGGAGGAGGCUGGUCCCGGAAUGCGAGCCGAGAGGCGCCGAUCUCGAUAACUCAGCGCAAAACCUCAAGUGCCAAUCGCACUUCCUACGCUGCUAUGCCCCUCGCUGCCUAAGCGAGGACGUAACAGUCGGUCUCAUUCGUGAGACCCGUCCACCGGCCCCGAUCUCCGCCAGGGACCGGCCCGGGCGAGACAAACGCGGAGUGCUGCGCGUUACGCCGCUACCCUGCGCAAAAGACAAAGCGGCUGGCUGCAGGCGAUUCGUGCCGGACGAGAUGCCUGCGGUGACCACCUUCGACCGGCUACGCUCGUAGAUUUCCGAGGGUCGAUUCUUUCGGACCCGGGUUCGAUUCCCGGCAUCUCCACUU